GGGGGCGUAAAGGUUUCGACGGGGAUUAUGAAGUACGAGAAGCGAGUAGAGGCACACAACCUCUUUAAAAUGUGUAAAAUAAAUAUAAACGCUAACUCUAACGAAUUAGUAGCUGCUUAAUUAAGCAGCCGUCUUACUGAGAAGUACCACGGUCUCAGAUAAGGCGUCGAUUAGUGGUGAACGAUCUGUUUGAGCGCCUCGUAAAACAGAUUGUAUCAGGGGCUACCAACACGCUUGCAGCCUGUUUAUCGGCGGCUAGCUGAGGGAAUUUGAAACGAUAAACUGCACUCGGAGAUGCUUGUAUGGAUUGGUUUUCGGACACGGGUUCAAUUCCCGUCGCCUCCACCA
rnacentral:tmRNA from 1 species